GUGUGCGCUUCCGCUAAUUUCUUUCUGGUCCCAAGUUUUUUCCGUGUUCACGCGGACGCGGGGUACAGAGCCUGAGCCGCCUCCUCAGAUUUGACCUGGUCCCAGUGAGAGAAACAUAAGCAGCAACGACGUGUACGCGAUCGAUACCAGUGCAAACAUAUACGGCUCGAAGUAGCGAUACGCGUGACGCUGGAAAAGGACUCGCCCGUACUACGGUGCCACGCAGAUGGAUGGUUGGUCUCAGAGCGCUCCGCCGUUGCUGUACCGCUGCUCUGCUUCCUCGCGGACGCCGGGCAGAAGAAGCAGGAGCGCGCUGGGAGGCCGAAUCCCUCAAGGGUGGCGGCGCUGGUGGAGCGCGUGAAGCUGCAGGUGAUGUACAGGGGCAUCGCCGACCGGGUACCUUCUUCCCCAUCACGGGCUGUGGAUUUGGUAUAGUUUCGGUUUGUGCAUCCCCAUCAUGGGCCGUGGACGGAGGAUUUUGUGCUCUUGAUUUUGAUUUUGGCUUGCGGUUUCUCUUCGAAUUGAGAGGUGCUUGUACUUUGAUUGAUCCAUGAGGUACUUUGAUUAAUGAGAUGAUUGAUGAGGUACUUAGAAAGGUACUGUGAUUGAUGAGUACUGUGAUUUUGAGCACCAUCAUCUACCAUGGGUACAUGACGUGGUACUAGUUUUUAAUAAAUGUUUAUGUUGUAAUUUUGUCUUGGUAUAAUUUGAUCUGUCCAGGUACCUAAAAACUGUUAAGGUACAUGUCAUGUACCACAUGAUGCAUUUGUAUCAUAAUCUCAUGUACAUGAGGUACUUAAAAACUGAUAAGGUACAAUACACAUACCUUAAUGUACUAAAUUUGUACUUAUAAACAUGUCAUGUACCAUAAUGUACUUAAAAGUGAAAGAGA